AGUCGCCGAGUAGGGACGGCCGGAGAUGCGAGUCCAAUCCCUAAGCAGCGCCGCAAGAACGGAUGUCGCCCCUUCCUUCGUAAAUCGGGUGCGAAUUUUAGUUGGAAAUUGGAAUCGAUCAUAGGAAAAGAACAAAUCUUGAUCAGCUGGAGCAUUUAGUUUCGAGAAUUGAUGAAAGAUACACAAAUUUUUUCUUGAUGAAGGCGGGGAGAACAUUUGUUACGUAUGUAAGUAUGAAUUUCGCUUUGUAAUUCAUGAAGAUUGUUGACAGAGAAAAAUACUUUGUUAUAUGCGUGUAGAGGAAGGAGGAGCUCUCCUUGAAAAAGUCCCUCGGGAGGGAAGGGGAUUAGAUUACGCGGCGAGCAAGUGGGUCCUCGUUCACAUGGACAGAGCUCGAGCCCCGCAGGCGCGCGUCGCAUUACGUCACCGCCUGGCAGCGCGCAUAUAGGCAGAAGCCCGGAGGAAGGGUCUCCCUCCGAUUUUACCGCGGCGGCGGAAAAGCGCGGGGAAAGAGAAAGAGGACGGCGUUCGGGCGGCCGGCGACGUGCCUUUUCCAACGGAUUUCCAGUGAGCGUUCCCGGCUGGACCAUGAUCGUCGUGAGGGGUAGGGAAGAGGGAUGAUCCGAGGCCUCAGCGAGGCGGUGAUCACGCGCCGAGUAGUGAGCAUUUCAUCAGCCGGAAUUACUGCCGUUGCUUUGUCCAAAGCUCCUAAUCCGGACGGGAGACGUCCGGGGUUGGGGUUUCGUGAUUUUUUCCCCUUGUUUUUGACUCGUCCCUUCUUAUGGGAAUGCCUGGGAAGCGAUCGAAUUACAUGCUCCUGAGUCAGGAGCCGGUGGAGGAGGAGCAGCGGAACGCGCAUAAGCCGGUCUUCGGCGGAUACGAGGCUGAAAAGGGCAAGGAUAAAGUUUUCGAUUGGGCGAUAGGUGCGGAUGGCGAUCUUCGCCAGGCUGGGUUCGCCCCCGUCGGGAGGGGCGGCCCGGUCAUGGUUGCGCCGCCGCCGGCUACCACGGCGCUGCAGCGGCAGUCGAGCGGUAGCAGCUUCACGGGGAGCUCGCUCUCCGCGGGCGACUACCACAUGCCGACCCUCUCGCCCACGGUUUCCUUGGGCGCUAACGACCCGGAUCUGAUGGGAGUUCUGCCGGAUGAUCCGUGGAAAUCCGUCGAGGGGUUACUGAAGCCGGCUGAGCAGGCGGCCGCCGGGUCGUCUUCAUCGAAAAGCUGGGCGCAGCAGACUGAAGAAAGUUAUCAGCUGCAGCUCGCGCUUGCGCUCCGGCUCUCCUCGGAGGCAGCUCGCACUGACGACCCAAACUUCCUGGACCCUCUGCCAGGAGAGUCCGCUUCUGGUUCAACGCACUCUUCUGCGGAAUCCAUGUCCCACAGAUUCUGGGUCAAUGGUUCUCUUUCUUAUUAUGACAAAGUUCCAGAUGGAUUUUACCUGAUUCAGGGAAUAGAUCCACAUGUGUGGACAAUGUGUACUGAUUUGCAAGAAAAUGGUCGGAUUCCAUCAAUAGAAUCACUGAAGGCUGUCGACUCCAUCGACUUGCCUGUUGAGGUAGUUCUAGUUGAUAAGCAGACUGACUUUGAUUUGGUGAAUGUACAAAAUAAGGUGAAAGGUCUUACACACGGUUGCAGCACCACAAAGGAGGCUGUUGAAAAACUUGCGGAGCUUGUCAUCAAGCAGAUGGGGGGUACAGCUUCUUCUGAAGAUGAAUUGUUGAUCGGUUGGAGGAAUUGCUGCAUGACUCUCAGGAAGAGGUUAAGAUCCAUUGUGCUACCCAUUGGAAGCUUAUCUGUUGGGCUUUGCAGGCAUCGCUGUCUUCUGUUUAAAGCAUUGGCAGAUGCUAUUGAUUUACCAUGUAGGAUUGCGAGAGGGUGCAAGUAUUGUAGACGAGCUGAUGCUUCCUCCUGCCUUGUACGGUUUGGCACUGAAAGGGAACAUUUGGUUGAUUUGAUAGGAGAACCUGGAACACUACGUGAGCCUGAUUCCUUGCUCAAUGGUCCAACUUCAAUAUGUAUUUGUUCACCCCUACGGCUUCCCAAAACCAAGUCUAUCUGUUUAACUGAGAAUUUUGGGAGUUUGGCAAAGCAAUAUUUCAAUGACUGUAGUUCAUUGAGUUCUCUAUUUGAAGAUGGUAGUCGAGUAGAAGCUGCAGAAUCGUCCUGUUCUAAUAAUCCUGUCAGAAGGUCAAAUGAAGAAUCUCAAUUGCAAGAAAUACAGGGAAUGCAGAUGGAAAGCGAUAUAGGCUUAAAAGGACCCAUUCAACUUUCCAAGCCACCAAGAUGCAUUCAACCCCGAGACCAACCAUUGUUAGAUUUAGUCAAUCAGAGACGUGAUAAGGGCAAUGAUUCAAACCUCUUGGGCCAUAAAAUGCUUCAGCUACCUCUUGAUAUUGAGGACCUAGACAUCCCAUGGACAGAUCUUGUCUUAAGGGAGAAAAUUGGUGCAGGUUCUUUUGGUACUGUCCAUCGUGCAGAUUGGCAUGGAUCUGAUGUUGCUGUUAAAAUUCUGAUGGAGCAGGACUUCCAUGAAGAGCGAUUCAAAGAAUUUCUGAGGGAGGUUGUGAUUAUGAAGCGUCUGCGACAUCCAAACAUUGUUCUUUUCAUGGGAGCUGUGACCCAGCCCCCAAACUUGUCUAUUGUCACAGAAUUUUUGUCAAGAGGCAGUUUGUACAAGCUUAUACAUAGGCCUGGUGCAAGAGAGUCACUGGAUGAGAGACGUCGACUCAACAUGGCAUUUGAUGUGGCAAAGGGGAUGAAUUAUCUGCAUCGACGUAGUCCUCCAAUUGUGCAUCGAGAUUUGAAGUCCCCAAAUCUCUUAGUGGAUAAGAAAUGGACAGUCAAGGUAUGUGAUUUUGGCCUUUCCCGUUUGAAGGCCAAUACGUUCCUCUCUUCAAAGUCAACUGCUGGAACUCCUGAAUGGAUGGCCCCAGAAGUACUUCGUGAUGAGCCGUCAAAUGAGAAGUGUGAUGUUUACAGUUUUGGUGUCAUCCUGUGGGAGCUUGUAACAAUGCAACAGCCGUGGAGUAGUUUGAAUCCAGCACAGGUGGUGGCAGCUGUCGGUUUUCAAAACAGAAGGCUUCAAAUUCCUAGCUACGUCAAUCCCAAAGUGGCAUCCAUAAUCGAGUCCUGUUUUGCCAAUGAGCCCUGGAAACGGCCUUCUUUCGCUAGCGUCAUGGAAUCUUUGAAGCCACUAAUCAAGCCUUCAACACCAGGAUAAGCAAUACAGAGCUACGACCAACUUACCUGAAGGUUGGAACUCCUGAAAGAAAAUUUGCAAAAUGUCCAUUAAUUUUUCUUUAGAAAAUUAACUCGCAGAUUAGAUCUUCAACCAGACGAUGAAAUCAGUCCUCCAGUUGCAAAGAAGCAAGGAAGAGAUGCUUGAAGCAGAUGGAAGUUAAGUCCCAGCAAUCGUCUCCUUCACCUGUAAAUGGAAUUAUAUUUUGUAUCAGGCUCCUGGAUGCCUGAUGUAGGAUCCCUUUGUUUAAUGUGAAUGUGGGCAAAUCCCAUGUUGGCACCUCUUACCGUCAUUCACGUUAUCAAUGAUUUUAUACAAAUAUAUGGUUACAUAUUUGCUUCGUC